rnacentral:rRNA from 1 species
UACGAAGGGGGCUAGCGUUGCUCGGAAUUACUGGGCGUAAAGGGCGCGUAGGCGGACAGUUUAGUCAGAGGUGAAAGCCCAGGGCUCAACCUUGGAAUUGCCUUUGAUACUGAAGAUCUUGAGUUCGGGAGAGGUGAGUGGAACUGCGAGUGUAGAGGUGAAAUUCGUAGAUAUUCGCAAGAACACCAGUGGCGAAGGCGGCUCACUGGCCCGAUACUGACGCUGAGGCACGGAAAGCGUGGGAGCAAACAGG